rnacentral:rRNA from 1 species
UACGUAGGGUGCGAGCGUUGUCCGGAAUUACUGGGCGUAAAGAGCUCGUAGGUGGUUUGUCGCGUUGUUCGUGAAAUCUCACGGCUUAACUGUGAGCGUGCGGGCGAUACGGGCAGACUUGAGUACUGCAGGGGAGACUGGAAUUCCUGGUGUAGCGGUGGAAUGCGCAGAUAUCAGGAGGAACACCGGUGGCGAAGGCGGGUCUCUGGGCAGUAACUGACGCUGAGGAGCGAAAGCGUGGGGGAGCGAACAGG